UGACCCGUCUGAGCAUGCAGGCGUUGCUGCAGCCUGCCCAAGAGUGGCCGUGCCCGUGCUCUGCUGGGCUCCUGGGGCAAUGUUUAUCUGCCCUUGGUUCUAACAGGGUGAGAAAAUGCCCACGGUCUUCUGAAAAUCAAUAGCCCUCCCCAUCGGUUCAGCUGAAAUAUCCUGGUGUGGGUUUGCAAGAACAGCAUUGGAGAAAGAUGUUUGUGUCCUCUCCCAGCACUGCAGAGAAAUUUGGUCCUGCUUGUUUGCUAACACAGCACAGCAGUGAGGGGUCACUCCUGGAUGCUGCUCAUUGCUUACUGCCCUGACUGCAGCAGAAAACUUACACUCACCCUUUUCCCAGGAAAGAGGUAGCUUUGGAAGAAUCCCCCGGUUCCUCAUCCUGAGAGCUUCAGGAUAGCCAACAAGUCUGGGUACAAGCUUGGUAUCUACUUGGCUCACACCAGUCCUCCUGAACGUCAGAGUAUCAAGAGCCAGAACUUUGUUUCCUGGCCAUCUCCAGCUGUUACUGCAUCUCCUGGCACCGGAAACAG
ensembl:lncRNA